rnacentral:rRNA from 1 species
AUUGAACGCUGGCGGCAUGCCUUACACAUGCAAGUCGAACGGCAGCAUAGGAGCUUGCUCCUGAUGGCGAGUGGCGAACGGGUGAGUAAUAUAUCGGAACGUGCCCUAGAGUGGGGGAUAACUAGUCGAAAGACUAGCUAAUACCGCAUACGAUCUACGGAUGAAAGUGGGGGAUCGCAAGACCUCAUGCUCCUGGAGCGGCUGAUAUCUGAUUAGCUAGUUGGUGGGGUAAAAGCCUACCAAGGCGACGAUCAGUAGCUGGUCUGAGAGGACGACCAGCCACACUGGGACUGAGACACGGCCCAGACUCCUACGGGAGGCAGCAGUGGGGAAUUUUGGACAAUGGGGGCAACCCUGAUUCAGCAAUGCCGCGUGAGUGAAGAAGGCCUUCGGGUUGUAAAGCUCUUUUGUCAGGGAAGAAACGGUAGUAGCUAAUAUCUACUACUAAUGACGGUACCUGAAGAAUAAGCACCGGCUAACUACGUGCCAGCCGCCGCAGUAA